GACGAACGCUGGCGGCGUGCUUAACACAUGCAAGUCGAACGGAAAGGCCCUGCUUUUGUGGGGUGCUCGAGUGGCGAACGGGUGAGUAACACGUGAGUAACCUGCCCUUGACUUUGGGAUAACUUCAGGAAACUGGGGCUAAUACCGGAUAGGAGCUCCUGCGGCAUGGUGGGGGUUGAAAAGUUUCGGCGGUUGGGGAUGGACUCGCGGCUUAUCAGCUUGUUGGUGGGGUAGUGGCUUACCAAGGCUUUGACGGGUAGCCGGCCUGAGAGGGUGACCGGCCACAUUGGGACUGAGAUACGGCCCAGACUCCUACGGGAGGCAGCAGUGGGGAAUAUUGCACAAUGGGCGGAAGCCUGAUGCAGCAACGCCGCGUGCGGGAUGACGGCCUUCGGGUUGUAAACCGCUUUCGCCUGUGACGAAGCGUGAGUGACGGUAAUGGGUAAAGAAGCACCGGCUAACUACGUG
rnacentral:rRNA from 1 species